rnacentral:lncRNA from 1 species
GCCAAAUACAUGGUACAUAAAUUAAAUACAACCUAAUAAUACAACUGUCGUGUAAAAUACGACAAAACAUAAUCUGAGAGUUUUAACAAGAAUAUUGUCAUCUAGACAAUAUCCACACUCAAAUGGAGUCCUCAUUACAUUUAUUAUCACACUAUUUCACAGAAUAGUGAGGACUAAUAAAACAACCAUCUGGACCGUCAAUCCGUUCCCCGACUAGUCCUAGCUAUAUUCUCAUUUCCUGAAGAGAAC